rnacentral:rRNA from 1 species
AUGGCUCAGGAUGAACGCUGGCGGCGUAGCCUAACACAUGCAAGUCGAACGGAACUUCUACGAGCAAGACUUCGGUCAAGCGAGUUUAAGUUAGUGGCGGACGGGUGAGUAACGCGUGAGCAACCUGCCUUUCAGAGGGGAAUAACGUCCGGAAACGGACGCUAAUACCGCAUAACGUAGCAGUACCGCAUGAUACAGCUACCAAAGAUUUUAUCGCUGAAAGAUGGGCUCGCGUCCGAUUAGGUAGUUGGUGAGGUAACGGCCCACCAAGCCGACGAUCGGUAGCCGGACUGAGAGGUUGAUCGGCCACAUUGGGACUGAGACACGGCCCAGACUCCUACGGGAGGCAGCAGUGGGGAAUAUUGCACAAUGGGCGCAAGCCUGAAUUGCAGCAACGCCGCGUGAGGGAAGACGGUUUUCGGAUUGUAAACCUCUGUCUUUGGUGACGAAGAAGUGACGGUAGCCAAGGAGGAAGCCACGGCUAACUACGUGCCAGCAGCCGC